UGGGGAAUAUUGCACAAUGGGGGAAACCCUGAUGCAGCGACGCCGCGUGGAGGAAGAAGGUCUUCGGAUUGUAAACUCCUGUUGUUGGGGAAGAUAAUGACGGUACCCAACAAGGAAGUGACGGCUAACUACGUGCCAGCAGCCGCGGUAAAACGUAGGUCACAAGCGUUGUCCGGAAUUACUGGGUGUAAAGGGAGCGCAGGCGGGAAGACAAGUUGGAAGUGAAAUCUAUGGGCUCAACCCAUAAACUGCUUUCAAAACUGUUUUUCUUGAGUAGUGCAGAGGUAGGCGGAAUUCCCGGUGUAGCGGUGGAAUGCGUAGAUAUCGGGAGGAACACCAGUGGCGAAGGCGGCCUACUGGGCACCAACUGACGCUGAGGCUCGAAAGUGUGGGUAGCAAACAGGAUUAGAUACCCUGGUAGUCCAUGCCGUAAACGAUGAUUACUAGGUGUUGGAGGAUUGACCCCUUCAGUGCCGCAGUUAACACAAUAAGUAAUCCACCUGGGGAGUACGACCGCAAGGUUGAAACUCAAAGGAAUUGACGGGGGCCCGCACAAGCAGUGGAGUAUGUGGUUUAAUUCGAAGCAACGCGAAGAACCUUACCAGGUCUUGACAUCCGAUGCAUAGUGCAGAGAUGCAUGAAGUCCUUCGGGACAUCGAGACAGGUGGUGCAUGGUUGUCGUCAGCUCGUGUCGUGAGAUGUUGGGUUAAGUCCCGCAACGAGCGCAACCCUUAUUGCCAGUUACUACGCAAGAGGACUCUGGCGAGACUGCCGUUGACAAAACGGAGGAAGGUGGGGAUGACGUCAAAUCAUCAUGCCCUUUAUGACCUGGGCUACACACGUACUACAAUGGCGUUUAACAAAGAGAAGCAAGACCGCGAGGUGGAGCAAAACUCAAAAACAACGUCUCAGUUCAGAUUGCAGGCUGCAACUCGCCUGCAUGAAGUCGGAAUUGCUAGUAAUCGCGGAUCAGCAUGCCGCGGUGAAUACGUUCCC
rnacentral:rRNA from 1 species